rnacentral:rRNA from 1 species
GCCCAGCCGUAAACUUUUACUUACAUUACAUCGCCAGGGAACUACGAGCCAAGCUUAAAACCCAAAGGACUUGACGGUACCCCAUAUCCCCCUAGAGGAGCCUGUCCUAUAAUCGAUAACCCACGUUUAACCUCACCAUUUUUAGUUAUCAGCCUGUAUACCUCCGUCGUCAGCUUACCACGUGAGCGCCAAUUAGUGAGCUUAAUGUUAUUUCACCAGUACGUCAGGUCAAGGUGCAGCAAAUAAAAUGGGAAGAGAUGGGCUACACUCUCUAUAUUAGAAAAAACGAAAAACUACCUAUGAAACCUAGUUAGAAGGCGGAUUUAGCAGUAAAAAGGAAUCAGCAUGUCCAUUUUAACCCGGCACUGGGGUGUGU